CCUUACUGUAUUGUUCUGGACACAAUCGGAUAGACCCUGAGCCAGCUCCCAACUCCAGGGCAAGGGGCGGUGGGGAAACGGUCGCCACCGGGGUCAGGAGGACAGGGAAGGGGAAGUGGCUUGGAGGCUGGGUCUAGGACAGGACAGGAAGGGGCCGCCGCCAGGGCCGGAGCCCCCACUCCACGGCGCGCGUGGAGCUCCAAGCACGUGGUCCCCGCAGGAAAUCGCGGCGGUGGGGAGCGGUCGCUAAUUCUCCUGCGGGGUGCCGGGAUCUCGGACCCCCAUCGGGGAGGCUGGGGGUUGGGUUGUGGCGCGGCGGGCAGAACCGGUUGCCAAUGAGGGCUUAAUAAGGCCCGGGCUGAGAAGGGAAACGGGACGACGGAGGGAGGUUGGGAGGCAGCCUCCUUCCCCUCCGCCAGGUUUCUUUCUCUGCGAUCUUUGCGCGAAGUCAAUCGAGAAACUGCCACACUUCGUCUUCACAUCCGAGGAGGGAGAGAGGAGGAAGGGAUGCAGGACUAGGAGCGCAGGUCAAUUCACAGAUGCGCGCGGCGGGACAGGGGCCCAAGAGGAAUCGGGACGCCGGGGGGUCUCGUUCACAUCAGAAGCGCGUGCACCCAAAGGAUAGACAUUUUUCCGAACCCACCAUCCUGACUGAGCUAGAGAGACGGGCGGCAAGCGGGGCUGGCAGGCUCCGGGGUCGGAUGGGGCGCCCCCAUCUGGAGGAUCCAGGCCCGCGGGGUGAAUCCGGGCAACUCCCCCAGUGCGGCCAGGGAAGCGUCCGCGGUGGUAACGACCACAGGCACUUACUGGGCCGCGGGAGUCGAUGUCCGCUGAGCCUUCCUCCCAUCCCACCCACCUCAGGUCCCCGAAGUCCGCAACACCAGCCCCGGCUAGAAUGCCAAGGGGUCUGGGCGUCCCGCCAGCGCGCGUUCCCCUUCACCUGUGCAGGUGUCAAGCUGUAAUUUCUGUACACUUCAUUUCAAAAAAAAAGAAGGGGCUGGGGACAUAGGUGAGACACUGCUGCGUGGUGUCUCGAUGCGACGGCGAGGCGUUGCCUUUGGACCCGUCCUGGAGGCACCCGAGACACUCACCGCGUGCUGGAAGUCCACGGACAUGCCCAUGCUCAGCUCCACCUGGUCGGGAGGGACGCCCAGCUUCCUGCACAGCUCCUCCCGGAGGGACAGCAACACCUGACGGAGAGACAGGCGUGACGCCAUUUUACCCCUGCCUUCGCCGAGGAUGGCUGAACGGGGCUGAGCCUCAACACCUCUGAUAGAGACUACUUCUUUAUUCCUCGUGGCUUUGAGGCCUGUCAACACCACCACGAGUCACUGAAAGGGUUUGCAGCAAAUUCUCCUACUUUCAAGAAAACUGUCACCCGUCGGAGAGGAAGCCGGAGCUCCUUUUCUCUGAAGACCAUGUGUCAGGCAGGUUCAGGCCGAGUGGAGAAGGGUCUGUGGGGGUUUGGGGGACCUGUUCCCGUUUUCCGUGUGAGGAGAGUUUAAGCGGGUGAUCAAGUAACACGACAAGAGACGUCCGGAAAAGUGUGUGGAGCUGACGGCAGCAGCCAGCCCUGUACCCUCACUGGACGUGAGCAGCGCCGCCACCCUGGGCCCCGGGUACCUGGAAGUCCGGGUUCGGUCCUUGACUAAGAUCGUGCCCAAAGCUCCCGAUGGUCAUCAGCCCCACGAACUCCAGGCUGGGGCACUUGGCGUUGAUGUGUUCCACCAGGGCCGCCGUCUCUGCAGGGGGCAGGCCGUGUUUGCCUUCACAAAAGAGACAGAAGACCGAGAGGUUCUAGGAAGCCAGAGGAGCACCCUUCCCUAGGACAGAGGAGGCAACUCUCAGGCAAGAGGACUUCUUGGGAGAACUUGUCCUCGAGACUGAAAUGGUGACUUUACACUGAGCUGUCUGUGUGUGUUGCUCCCCUUCUGACCCGGUCCUGAGUGUCUCAAGGGAAGAGCUAUAAACUGGAUUCUCUUUAUUCUGCCUCAGCAUGUGAGGACAGCUAUAAUAGAAGGAAAAGGGGGGAAAAAAAAAACACUGCUUUUCUUAAAAUAGAAGGAAGAAAAAUUAAUCUUAAAAAAAAAAAAUUAUCUGGAACUUUCCUGGCGGUUCAGUGGUUAAGAUUAUGUGCUUCCAGUGUGAGGGUUGGGGGGGAAGCCAUCGGGUUUGAUAUCCCUGGUCAGGGAACUAAGAUCCUGCGUGUUGGGUGUGCGGUGGAGCCAAAACUUUUAAAAAGAAAAAAAAAAAACACCAAGAAGACUCACAUUGCCCAAACGCCAGAUUAACCA